rnacentral:rRNA from 1 species
CUGCAGCUCAAGUGGUGAUCAUUUUUAUUGGGCCUAAAACGUCCGUAGCCUGUUUAGUAAAUGCCUGGGUAAAUCGUGUAGCUUAACUAUACGAAUUCCGGGUAGACUGCUAAACUUGAGACCGGGAGAGGCUAGAGGUACUCCUGGGGUAGAGGUGAAAUUCUGUAAUCCUAGGGGGACCACCAGUGGCGAAGGCGUCUAGCUAGAACGGGUCUGACGGUGAGGGACGAAGCCCUGGGGCGCAAACCGGAUUAGAUACCCGAGUAGUCC